UCAAAGUUUAAUCACUGCAGUUUAUUGUGAACAGUAAUAUUCAAUCCUCCCAUAGAACUUGAUACAUUGUAAAUACGUGAUUUGCAUCUUAAGACGAAAAGGAGCAACUAACUCUGAGGAGGAAGGCUGGGCUUGGCCCCUAUCUCUGUGUAUCCAAACAAAAGGCAACUCCCUUCGAGGAGAAAAAGUAAACAGAGUGAAGAGGAACCAUUACUAAGCACCUGAACCAAUCUGAAAUCAUGACAAGAGUAAGGAUGUUAAAUAAAUAUGUCUCUUUUCUCUUGGCA